rnacentral:lncRNA from 1 species
UUGGCCAAAUUUAGAAACUUUGCAUUUGCAUGCUUUGCACCUUGCACUUUAAACUCCAAUUUCACCAAUUUCCACACUUCAAAUGGAUUUUUACCCAACAUAACAAUUUUUCCUUACAUCAAAACCUUUCCAAACAUUACUCACAUGUUCAUGUUUGGAUUUGGAAAAUGGCAUUUUCGAAGAGGGGAAGUUUUUGGUUCAAUUAUGCAUAACAUAUCAAAACUCCUUGCACAAGCCAAUUCACUCCAAG